UGGGGAAUUUUGGACAAUGGGCGAAAGCCUGAUCCAGCAAUGCCGCGUGUGUGAAGAAGGCCUUCGGGUUGUAAAGCACUUUUGUCCGGAAAGAAAUCCUUGGCUCUAAUACAGUCGGGGGAUGACGGUACCGGAAGAAUAAGCACCGGCUAACUACGUGCCAGCAGCCGCGGUAAUACGUAGGGUGCAAGCGUUAAUCGGAAUUACUGGGCGUAAAGCGUGCGCAGGCGGUUUGCUAAGACCGAUGUGAAAUCCCCGGGCUCAACCUGGGAACUGCAUUGGUGACUGGCAGGCUAGAGUAUGGCAGAGGGGGGUAAAUUCCACGUGUAGCAGUGAAAUGCGUAGAGAUGUGGAGGAAUACCGAUGGCGAAGGAGCCCCCCUGGGCCAAUACUGACGCUCAUGCACGAAAGCGUGGGGAGCAAACAGGAUUAGAUACCCUGGUAGUCCACGCCCUAAACGAUGUCAACUAGUUGUGGGAUUCAUUCCUUAGUAACGUAGCUAACGCGUGAAGUUGACCGCCUGGGGAGUACGGUCGCAAGAUUAAAACUUAAAUGAAUUGACGGGGUCAUAGCUGUUUCCU
rnacentral:rRNA from 1 species